UAACCAUUUCUUUUUAUUUCGUCAAUUCAUUUCAAACAAUUCACACGUGUGGUACUGGUUUUAUAGAUCUAGUAAAGAUCGUGGAAGAUUAAGAUUUAAGAAAAAAUUUUAAUCAUUCAACAUCCACUUCUUCCUACUUAAAUGUUCAUUAUGCCGAAUCAAUAUCAAUCACUCGCUAAAAUGAUUUGCAGUUAUCACAUUCAUCUGUUUACAACGAAAACGGACCUGAAACAGCUAGAUUCGUGGACGCUGAAAUAAAGUAAAACGAAGUUGGAGCAAUCUGGAAUUUGAAUCAUUUAAUAUGAAAAUGGAAUGGUCAAAAUUAGUCCACGUAAUUCUUGAAGAAAAAACAAUUUGAAGAAAAAGAUCACUGUAUUAAUAACCUUAAAUUAAUUUUGAAGAAUGGUGGCAUGUUAACACGUCGUGUCUGCCGGCAGAAAAAAUCUAACGCCAAAAUGUUACAAUGUUCAUAAGAAUGUGAAAAAUUCCCGGAUAUUCUGGAACUCUACUGGUUUAAAUCUGGUAAUAUCUCAUUCCACGUGGCCUUAAACAAAAGCAUCAAGGGGACAAACGAGAAUGUCGUUUUAAUAAUCAUUUAAGUUAACAAAGAAGUUGUGGUCCAAGUAAUUCUUAAUGAGAAGUCGUUUAUUUGAAAAAAAAUAUCACCAAAUUUAUCACUGAAUAUAUUAUAUACAUAAAUGAUUAUGGACCGGUCACAAUAUAUCACGCUGUUCGAUGGGAAUGAUUAAUAACAAUAUCGGAGUAAUAGCGGCAUAAAUUAUCAUAAGACGGAAGACCAUAUACGUUCCUGAAUUAUUUAAUGGAGCAACAUGGCAUCAACUGUUGGAUAAUAUGUUUGGCAUCAAUAAACAUUCAAUAUCAAAUAGAAUCUCUCAUGGCACCCUAAUUGUGAAAUCGUAAUUUUUCAAAAAUUUUUUGUUUGUUUAUAAGUAUAAUGACAAAUUUUUAUUAUUUUUGGCUAUUUCUUUCAUUUAUAAGUUUUUAAAUAUGGACCAUGGAACAAGCAAAUAUUUUUGUUCUCAGACAGUGUGUUGUUGUUAUUCAUUAUGUAUUUGUAAACAAAGCUAAAUAAAUUCUAUUCAAUUGUA